UACGGGGGGUGCGAGCGUUGUCCGGAAUCAUUGGGCGUAAAGAGUUCGUAGGCGGCAUGUAAAGUCAGGUGUUAAAGGCGCAGGCUUAACCUGUGUAUGGCACUUGAUACUUGCAAGCUAGAAUGCGGUAGAGGUAAAGGGAAUUCCUGGUGUAGCGGUGAAAUGCUUAGAUAUCAGGAGGAACAUCGGUGGCGUAAGCGCUUUACUGGGCCGUAAUUGACGCUGAGGAACGAAAGCCGGGGUAGCAAAU
rnacentral:rRNA from 1 species